GGCACGCCUUAUACAUGCAAGUCGAACGCAGUAGCAAUACUGAGUGGCAGACGGGUGAGUAUAAUGUGGGAAUCUGCCUUUUGGUUUGGAAUAACUCGGGGAAACCUGAGCUAAUACUGGAUAAGCCCUUACGGGGAAAGCUUUAUGCGCCAAAAGAUGAGCCCGCACUUGAUUAGCUUGUUGGUGAGGUAAAAGCUCACCAAGGCAACGAUCAAUAGCUGUUCUUAGAGGAAGACCAGCCACAUUGGGACUGAGACACGGCCCAGACUCCUACGGGAGGCAGCAGUAAGGAAUCUUGCACAAUGGGGGAAACCCUGAUGCAGCGAUGCCGCGUGAGUGAAGAAGGCCUUUGGGUUGUAAAACUCUUUCGUCGGGGAAGAAAAUGACUGUACCCGAAUAAGAAGGUCCGGCUAACUUCGUGCCAGCAGCCGCGGUAAUACGAAGGGACCUAGCGUAGUUCGGAAUUACUGGGCUUAAAGAGCUCGUAGGUGGUUAGAAAAGUUGGUGGUGAAAUCCCAAGGCUCAACCUUGGAACUGCCAUCAAAACUUUCUAGCUUGAGUGUGAUAGAGGAAAGUGGAAUUUCUAGUGUAGAGGUGAAAUUCGUAGAUAUUAGAAAGAACACCAAAUGCGAAGGCAACUUUCUGGAUCACUACUGACACUGAGGAGCGAAAGCAUGGGUAGCGAAGAGGAUUAGAUACCCUCGUAGUCCAUGCUGUAAACGAUGUGUGCUAGACGUUGGAAAUUUAUUUUUCAGUGUCGCAGCAAAAGCGUUAAGCACACCGCCUGGGGAGUAC
rnacentral:rRNA from 1 species